UGACCGGUCCUGUUGUCAACUCGUUCGCAUCUGCAUCGUCUUCAAUGCACCAUCUAACCAGAGCAGUUCCCCAGCACUCGCUACCGGUGGUCGUCGAGCUCCGACUGGCCGCACGCCUCUGCCUCGUUCUGAGCUUACCCGAGUGACUCCUUCUCCUCCUCCCUCGGCGGCAUCAAGGGUGCGCUCGCCCGCGUGGUGGCUGGGCGGAUCUCGCCGGGCGGCCGAGCUCCCUGGCUAGAGGUCGCCCGCUUCUUCCCCAAUUCCGGCCGGUGCGGAAGCAGCUAUCUGCUCGAGGACUAAUGGUUUUUACCACGGACGAUGCGUGAGCAAUAAGGACUGUGCGAACUCAUGCGUUCAACAUGACCUCGGUAUCGGCGGGUAUUGCAAAGGCUGGAUCCUUUUUAUCCGACGAUGCACGUGUACCUUUGAAUGCCCAGGAGGCAAGUUGUCAUCUGGGGAUGAGAUGCCGCUCGGUACACGCCCAAUUUGAAAGUAUCCGAUCCAACUGAGUGUCGUGUAUGAGCAGCUAGUUGAGCGAUGUAAUAAGAGCAAACACAUAUAUAUGCGCAUGCAUGCAUGUUUUAAGAGAUCGUGUGGAAGUAGAAAGCGGCCCUUGUGUUUAUCAUGAAAGACUAGAAAGCAGCUUGCAGUAAGUGAUGUCUAUGUACAGAGCUAGCUCACAGUUUCCUGAACUAAAUGCUCAUGCAAGGUUACAAGCUUGCCCAUACUACC